AGGAAUAUAUCCUAUCUAGUAAGUUCAACUAGGUAGUUGAAGAACAAAUAAAAAAAUUAAAAAAAUAAAAGUCAUAAAACAAAAAAGAAAAAAGGAAUACCUAGCAUAAAAAAAUCAAAGAAAAGAAUAAGUUGAUAAAGAAGUUUAUGUGACACCAAAAUCAUUAGCAGAUAAUGUAUAGAGGAGGAAAACUAAAAAUUUGUUGAUGAAAAAAGAUAAUAAUGGUAAUACUCACAAAAAAAACAUGAGAGAUAUUAUCCAGUCAUAUGAGAUUGUUAAUUAUCAACUACCUCCCAAUUAAUAAAACAGGUAACCAAUCACCCUAAUAUACCCUUCUACAUAAUUUAGUAGGUAACUUUGAUUUAUUUUAUUUCAAAGCUACAAUCUCUCUACUAACAUCAUUUAAAGUUUAAAAAUCAUAAAACAAAAAAGAAAAAAAAGAAUAUCUAGCAUAAAAAAAUCAAAGAAAAGAAUAAGAUGAUAAAGAAGUUUAUGUGACACCAAAAUCAUUAAAAGAUAGUUUAUAUAGGAGGAAAACUAAAAGUUUAUUAAUAAAGAAAGGUAAUAAUGAUAAUACUCACACAAAAAACAUAAGAGAUAUUAUCAACUCAUGAGAUUGUUA
rnacentral:lncRNA from 1 species